rnacentral:rRNA from 1 species
UACGUAGGCAGCGAGCGUUGUUCGGAGUUACUGGGCGUAAAGAGUGCGUAGGCGGUUUUCUAAGUUUGGUGUGAAAUCUCCCGGCUUAACUGGGAGGGUGCGCCGAAAACUGGAAGGCUUGAGUAUGGGAGAGGUAAGCGGAAUUCCUGGUGUAGCGGUGAAAUGCGUAGAUAUCAGGAGGAACACCGGUGGCGAAGGCGGGUCUCUGGGCAACAACUGACGCUGAGGAGCGAAAGCGUGGGGAGCGAACAGG